rnacentral:lncRNA from 1 species
AAGAUUUCUACUUCAUCCACACCAUCAGUUUGAAAUGAUUAUUGGUUUUAAGUAUUCUUGGAUAUGUGUAUAAUGUUUUAAUUGUUGUAUGUUUUAAACUGAUUGUAUGUUCUUGGUAUGUUGGAAACCGCUCUGAGUCCCUUGAGGAAAUAGGGUGAUAUAUAAAUAAAGUUUUAUUAUUUAUUAUCUAUAUAUAUAAAAGGGUAAUGAAAUUUCGACCUAGGACAAAACAACAAAACUGCACAUCCCAGAAACACUAAACUUGGCAGCACAACCCCUCAUCCAUGCUUCUACGUUCAUACAACAAAAAGAAAAGAAAAAUAAAGUCCUAAUUAGAGGGAGAGGAAUAAUUGUUUUUAUCCAAUUGCUGCCAGUUAGAAGGCUAAGCUCCGCCCACUGGGUCUCCUAGCAAACCACUCAGCCCAGGGGACAGGCAGAGUUAGGCCUCACUUAGGCCUCUUCCACACUGCCUAUAAAAUACAGAUUAUCUGAUUUGAACUUAGGCCCUUCCACACAGCUGUAUAACCCAUUUAUAAUGGACUUAAUGUAAGGUAAAACCUUUACCCUUUACCUUAACUACCAGCAAUUCCUCAAUACUUUAUUUCCCAUACCACCAGACUUCACCACAGCAACGCAUGGCUGGGCAAAGCUAGUAUUAUUAUAUUUUCCUGAGGUCACAUUAGGCCAUGAAAACCCACAGAGGAACCAGGGGGCAAAUCCUACACUUUCUUCCUCAGAUACACUCAGUGAUGGUUUCGUUUUAGAGUCGCCAUGACUGGAAGUCCCACAACAACAACAACAACAAAGGAAGGAGAGGAUGGACAGUUCUAAUUUCCACGUCAUGCAACAGGGAGAAGUCAGCUACUGAAGAAGAAUGGAGUUGGGGAUGAAGAACAAGUACUGUGUCUUCACAGUCUACUACAAUGAGAAAAAGGAGGACCAAAGAGAUGAUGCCGAGAGCAUGCAGGAUGCAUUUGAGAGGUUCAGAAGACGUCGGCAGGGGUAAGAAGAGGGAGCUGGAGAUGGAAAAGGAGAAGAGGAGGAGGGCCAGGAGAAAGUUCUUCUCUUUCUCCUAGGUUGUUGUUAGUUGACAUGAAGACAACUUCAGCUUAUGGCAACCCUUAUGAACGAGACACUAUGCCAGUGGUUCUCAGUGGCCUACAACUCCCAGAAAUCCCAGUUUACCAGCUGUUAGGAUUUCUGGGACUUGAAGGCCAAAACAUCUGGAGACCCACAGGUUGAGGGCCACUGCACUAUGCCAUCAAUUGUCUCUCUCAGGUAAACCCAGGGCAUAUCAAGUUGGGUGCCUCCCAACGACAUCCGAUGUGGAUCAGUGGGUCUUGAUGAUCAUAUUUAUAUUAAUAUUAAGAACAGCAGUUAUUCUGGCAUUCUAAGAUGAGUCUGGGUCCGGGAGAGCAGUGCCUCCCAGUUACGUCCAGUGUGGAUCAAUGGGUCUUGAUGGUCAUAUUUAUAUAAAUAUUAAGAACAGCAGUUAUUUUGGUACCCUAAGCUGAGUCUGGGAGAGGAGUGCCUCUCAAUUACAUCCAAUGUGUAUCCAUGGGCCUUGAUGAUAAUACUUAUAUUAAUAUUAAGACAGCAGUUAUUCUAGCACCCUAAGCUGAGUCUGGGAGAGGAGUGCCUCUCAAUUACAUCCAAUGUGUAUCCAUAGGCCUUGAUGGUCAUAUUUAUAUUAAUAUUAAGAACAGCAGUUAUUCUGGCACCCUAAGCUGAGUCUGGGAGAGGAGUGCCUCCCAAUUACAACCAAUGUGUAUCCAUGGGCCUUGAUGAUAAUAUUUAUGUUAAUAGUAAGAACAGCAGUUAUCCUGGCACCCUAAGCUGAGUCUGGGAGAGGAGUGCCUCCCAAUUACAACCAAUGUGUAUCCAUAGGCCUUGAUGGUCAUAUUUAUAUAAAUAUUAAGAACAGCAGUUAUUUUGGUACCCUAAGCUGAGUCUGGGAGAGGAGUGCCUCUCAAUUACAUCCAAUGUGUAUCCAUAGGCAUUGAUUGUCAUAUUUAUAUUAAUAUUAAAAACAGCAGUUAUUCUGGCACCCUAAGCUGAGUCUGAGAGAGCAGUGCCUCCCAAUUACAUCCAAUGUGUAUCUAUGGGUCUUGAUGGUAAUAUUUACAUUAAUAUUAAGAACAGCAGUUAUUCUGGUACCCUAAGCUGAGUCUGGGAGAGCAGUGCCUCCCAAUUACAUCCAAUGUGUAUCCAUGGGCCUUGAUGAUUAUAUUUAUAUUAAUAUUAAGCAGUGAUUCUGGCACUCUAAACUGAGUCUGGGUCUGAGACUCA